AUUGAACGCUGGCGGAAUGCUUUACACAUGCAAGUCGAACGGUAGAGGGGGCAACCCCUCGAGAGUGGCGAACGGGUGAGUAAUAUAUCGGAACGUGCCCAGUCGUGGGGGAUCACGUAGCGAAAGUUACGCUACUACCGCAUACGAUCUAAGGAUGAAAGCGGGGGAUCGCAAGACCUCGCGCGGUUGGAGCGGCCGAUAGCAGAUUAGGUAGUUGGUGGGGUAAAGGCUCACCAAGCCAACGAUCUGUAGCGGGUCUGAGAGGACGACCAGCCACACUGGAACUGAGACACGGUCCAGACUCCUACGGGAGGCAGCAGUGGGGAAUUUUGGACAAUGGACGCAAGUCUGAUCCAGCCAUUCCGCGUGCAGGAUGAAGGCCCUCGGGUUGUAAACUGCUUUUGUACGGAACGAAAAGGUCUCUCUUAAUACGGGGGACUCAUGACGGUACCGUAAGAAUAAGCACCGGCUAACUACGUGCCAGCCGCCGCAGUAACAC
rnacentral:rRNA from 1 species